CAGGCCUAACACAUGCAAGUCGAGCGGUAACGAUCCUAGCUUGCUAGGAGGCGACGAGCGGCGGACGGGUGAGUAACGCGUAGGAAUCUACCUAGUGGUGGGGGAUAGCCCGGGGAAACUCGGAUUAAUACCGCAUAAGCUCUAUGGAGGAAAGUGGGGGAUCUUUUAGACCUCAUGCCACAUGAUGAGCCUGCGUAAGAUUAGCUAGUUGGUGGGGUAAA
rnacentral:rRNA from 1 species